AGCCUUCUGUAUCCAUACUGAGAUUUCGUCACACACCAGAUCACAAGGGCUGAUGAGAUUUAAAUCAAAAGUGACU
rnacentral:pre_miRNA from 1 species